rnacentral:rRNA from 1 species
UGGGGAAUAUUGGCCAAUGGGCGAAAGCAUGAUCCAGCCAUGCCGCGUGUGUGAAGAAGGUCUUCGGAUUGUAAAGCACUUUAAGUUGGGAGGAAGGGCAUUAACCUAAUACGUUAGUGUUUUGACGUUACCGACAGAAUAAGCACCGGCUAACUCUGUGCCAGCAGCCGCGGUAAUACAGAGGGUGCAAGCGUUAAUCGGCAUUACUGGGCGUAAAGCGCGCGUAGGUGGUUUGUUAAGUUGGAUGUGAAAUCCCCGGGCUCAACCUGGGAACUGCAUUCAAAACUGACUGACUAGAGUAUGGUAGAGGGUGGUGGAAUUUCCUGUGUAGCGGUGAAAUGCGUAGAUAUAGGAAGGAACACCAGUGGCGAAGGCGACCACCUGGACUAAUACUGACACUGAGGUGCGAAAGCGUGGGGAGCAAACA